rnacentral:lncRNA from 1 species
GCCAUAGUGGCUUGAAAUCAUAAUAUUUAGUUCAUCUUUUAAUUUCAGAUGUCUAAAGUUAAACUUCCUCAAUCAGAUGUCGAUCUUCUGAUGACUGAUUUUUCUGUACCAGUUAUACAAUUGCUUAAUGGAGUUAGUAAUGUUUUUGUUUUGAAAGAACUGAAGAAUGCACUAACUCAAUUUUCAUCAUUAAAAGUUAUUGAUAGCGACCAUUUUGGUAACAGGGAGUUCUUCUCACGACUCAAGAUUACUUUGAAAAACCUCUAUCCUGAGUUUAAGGAUGAUUGGGUAGUCCGAUAACUGCGAUUGUACAGUCAUUCAAAAAAUUUAGAAAACAUUGGCAAUACAGAAAAUGGUCAAAAGUUGCUGAAUUCAUUGAACAAACUUGAUUUAUGUAUGAGUAUAUCUUUUGCUAUUUUCCAAUUUGUUGGUACUGUAUGUAAGAGAAUCUGCUAUAUUUCCGGCAAUGUCUUUAAUAAAACGUGCAGGUUGAUUAGGUUGUGUGCAACAUAACGGAAGAAAGAACAAAAACUGUCGGCCAUUAGUUUAUUUUCUGUAGAGAAUUGCUUAAUGCUAUUGUUUUCAAUGGUUUGUUUAGUUGGGAAUAUGCGUUUAAUGGCUUUCCAGUGCUCUUUCAAUUAUCACGAGA